rnacentral:rRNA from 1 species
UACGUAGGGUGCGAGCGUUAAUCGGAAUUACUGGGCGUAAAGCGUGCGCAGGCGGUUUUGUAAGCCAGAUGUGAAAUCCCCGGGCUUAACCUGGGAAUGGCAUUUGGGACUGCAAGGCUGGAGUACGGCAGAGGAGACUGGAAUUCCUGGUGUAGCAGUGAAAUGCGUAGAGAUCAGGAGGAAUACCGAUGGCGAAGGCAGGUCUCUGGGCUGAU